rnacentral:rRNA from 1 species
GACGAACGCUGGCGGCGUGCUUAACACAUGCAAGUCGAACGAAGUGGCGAACGGGUGAGUAACGCGUAAUCAACCUGCCCUUCAGAGGGGGACAACAGUUGGAAACGACUGCUACUACCGCAUACUGAAGGAGGGGAUUGCGUCUGAGUAGCUAGUAGGUAGGGUAAUGGCCUACCUAGGCAACGAUACAUAGCCGACCUGAGAGGAGGAGCGGCCACACAGGGACUGAGACACGGCCCAGACUCCUACGGGAGGCAGCAGUGGGGAAUAUUGGACAAUGGGCGAAAGCCUGAUCCAGCCAUGCCGCGUGUGUGAAGAAGGUCUUCGGAUUGUAAAGCACUUUAAGUUGGGAGGCGUUACCAACAGAAUAAGCACCGGCUAACUUCGUGCCAGCCGCCGCGGUAAUAC